GUGAAAAAGGAGGCUAGAAAUAUCCACGUCUGCUCCUCUUGGAAGGCAACCCUGGCGCUUGCUCCGAACACCCCCCCAGCCCGCCUGUGCGCGGGGAUAAUUAAUCCAUUACGGGAUGGAUCCUGCCGUGCUGCCGUAAAAAAGAGAUCUAUUUCUCCUCUGCUUUCCCCUCCUCCCCGAAGAGACAUCUGAAACGGAUCAUGUAAUAAACGUUUCUUGGAUGGAAGGAGAGGUAUUGUUCUCUUGCCGUGGAAACAAUCCCGGCAGUGGGGCCAGCCAGGAGGGAGCGGGGCCGGAUACUUCACUCGGCAGCUCUUAUGACAUCCUGUAUGGCAGGGCGGCCUCCGGGGGACACGUUUUGUGAUGUGCCCUCUGCAAACAGCGCUCAGGAGGGCAGGGUGAGCUGGUUCUGACCAAGGGGGACAAGCCCAGGCUGCCAAGUCUGUGGGGGCUGGAGGUGGCUUCCCUCUGUGGAGACAUCCAGGCACUGCCUGGCAGGCAACGGGACACUCUGGAGACAGGGAGGUGGCCCAGAGUCCAUCACGACACACCCAAAGGAACACCUCUGACCACACCCUUCCAACCCUGCAUCCAUCCCUCUCCAUCAGCCCAGGCUGGGAGCAGCUGCCUUGCACAGCUCCAGGCAGAGAUCAGCCUUUACACAGGCACCUCUCCUUCGGUUUGACGCUUCCUUUUUGCCCAAGGGACCUGGAAACAAGCUGCACUGGACUCACAGUGUCCAGCUUGAAUAGAACAGAUCCUCCUUCACCAAGUGUUUUUCAUUCCUGGCCAGCCAUGCUCGCUAUCCAAGGGAGGAGCUGCUGACAUUUAUUCCUGAAUUGCCACAUUGCAGGAGCUUUGGCUAACACUUCUGUUACAUGGGAAGAGAGAAGGGACCUUGUUACUUGAGUUUCUGGUCAGUACUUGGAACUGUGAAAACCCCCCUGGGCUCUGCUGUACAACAGCAAAAGCUUUUUCCACUGCAUCAGCAGCAUUUCAAAAUCCUGUGAGCUGAUCUUAGGGCAGCAAAGUGACUUCUCUGUCUAUCAAAGACACAAGGAUGUCACGACACCUGUGUGUUUUCAUCACAACACCCCUCAAACGGACAUCCAGACUACAGGGGUUAAAAUCACCUUUCCUCAGAGAGGAGACACAAAGUGAUCCACUUCCAGGACAAAAGUUGUCAGAGCCACCCAAAGCAGCUCUUGACAGCCCGAGCCUUCCCCAGGGCCAGACCAGAGCAUCUGUCCCAGCUGGGCUCAGGGUGACCAAGCUGGAUGGAAGGGACAACAUCAACCUUGCAGCUUCCCUUCCCUCUGCUGACCAGGGACAGGACCCCAGGGAACAGCUGGAGCUGUGUCAGCUGGAAUUCUAAAUCAACAUACAAACAGAGAUCCACCCUGCCAAGAACCAGGACUCCUUCUCUGGGCAAAGAGGAACAGCAGGGCCGAGCUCCCCUCUCCAAGCACUGCCCACUGGGAGCAGCCUGCUCCUCCUCUGCCUCACCAAGGGACAGACCUGAGCAGGGAUGUUGAUGGAAAUCCCUCCUCACAACAGCAAGGGCAGGUUUAAAGUGAUUGGAUUAAACUGCAUUAACCUCUGUGUGGACACAGUCACUCCAGAUUUAAGUGGCCAUUGCUCAGUUUAACAGGAGCCACUUCAAUGUGACCUAAUUCACCACCUGAGUAAAUAAGGCAAACCAAAUAAAGGUCAAUGACUGUGAAGAA